AAACCAACAGGGAUUGCCUUAGUAACGGCGAGUGAAGCGGCAAAAGCUCAAAUUUGAAAUCUGGCACCUUCGGUGUCCGAGUUGUAAUUUGAAGAAGGAAGAUUUAUGGGUCUUGUCUAAGUUCCUUGGAAAAGGACAUCACAGAGGGUGAGAAUCCCGUGCGAUGAGAUUCCGUAUUGUAAUCUUCCUUCGAAGAGUCGAGUUGUUUGGGAAUGCAGCUCUAAGUGGGUGGUAAAUUCCAUCUAAAGCUAAAUAUUGGCGAGAGACCGAUAGCGAACAAGUACUGUGAAGGAAAGAUGAAAAGAACUUUGAAAAGAGAGUGAAAAAGUACGUGAAAUUGUUGAAAGGGAAGGAUUUGAGAUCAGACUUGGUAUUUUGCAACCUUACUCUCGUGGUGGGGCCCCUGCAGUUUAUCGGGCCAGCAUCAGUUUGGACGAUGGGAUAAUGACUCAGGAAUGUGAUUCUACUUCGGUGGAAAGUUAUAGCCUUUGUUGAUACCGUCUGUCUAGACUGAGGACUGCGUCUUUUGACAAGGAUGUUGGCAUAAUGAUCUUAAAUCAC
rnacentral:rRNA from 1 species